GUGCUCGCUUCAGCAGCACAUAUACUAAAAUUGGAAUGAUACAGAGAAGAUUAGCAUGGCUUCCACACAAGGAUGUCAUGUGAAAAGUCAUCCUCUCUG
ensembl:snRNA U6 U6 spliceosomal RNA